rnacentral:rRNA from 1 species
AACGAACGCUGGCGGCAUGCCUAACACAUGCAAGUCGAACGAGACCUUCGGGUCUAGUGGCGCACGGGUGCGUAACGCGUGGGAAUCUGCCCUUGGGUUCGGAAUAACAGUUGGAAACGACUGCUAAUACCGGAUGAUGACGUAAGUCCAAAGAUUUAUCGCCCAAGGAUGAGCCCGCGUAGGAUUAGCUAGUUGGUGAGGUAAAGGCUCACCAAGGCGACGAUCCUUAGCUGGUCUGAGAGGAUGAUCAGCCACACUGGGACUGAGACACGGCCCAGACUCCUACGGGAGGCAGCAGUGGGGAAUAUUGGACAAUGGGCGAAAGCCUGAUCCAGCAAUGCCGCGUGAGUGAUGAAGGCCUUAGGGUUGUAAAGCUCUUUUACCCGGGAUGAUAAUGACAGUACCGGGAGAAUAAGCUCCGGCUAACUCCGUGCCAGCAGCCGCGGUAAU